CUGUGAUUGAAUUCAUUAAACUCGGCAGUAGGGACAAAGUUUAAAGGUAAGGUUUUAUUACAUAAGACAGUCAGAGGACGAGAGGAGGACAGACUCUGUGACAUGCCUUUUUUUCUUUUCAUCUGUACAGGGUACUUCCCUUCCUCCUCAUAGGUUUCCCCUUGGGGACAUGUGAUGGACCCCCGAAUUAUAAUUUCCACUAGCUUUCAGAUGUGGGAGGGGAGUAAAUUCCAGGAAUGACGUUUCUGCCACUAACGUCGGAUAACGGGAAUAUUUAAAAAAAAAAAAAAAAAAAAAAGCAAAGUGCAAGGUGUCUGGGGAAAUCUUCUGGGGGACGAGGCUCUCACGGUCCUGGAGCCACAGGGUGCACACCCUUGGUAUUGUGCAAGGUAGCUUGUCCACAGGCGCAGCCUCCCCUCGAACACCUCCCCAUCAGUGUCCCCAGCUGCCUCUGCACCUCGCAAAAGGCGCAGCGCUCCCGGAUUUCUCCAGACCGGAGAAGAGGCGACCGUACGCAGGAGCACUGGGUCCCUGCAGGUAAUGGAUGUGUGCGCAUGCCCAGAGCUGCCGCCUGGGAGCUUGGUUUCACAUCACAGGGGUUAACUUUGUUGCCUUCCCCGAAGAUGCAAGUUUAGAAGCAGCGGAGCUUUGGUGCGGGGUCGGCUCUGUGAGACCUGCUCCUGAGACCUAGCGCUCGUAGGGAUCAGGUGGCGGCGAAAAACAGGGAGGAAAGUUGGCGAGCAUCUGGACUCGUCUAGGCCCUUCUCAACCUCCUCCCCACGGCAUGAAACAGGUUGUGUUCUUCCGCGGAAGGAAAGGCGAGUGGCGCUGUGGCACCUUCUGCGGCCAGAGGCGAACCCUCGGGGUGCGCAGGCGUGGGAGACUUGUCGGCCUUGAGUGGGCCGACAGCUCGCGAAGUCCCGGGGGGCCGCGUGGGGACCGUGGCGGAAAGGUAGUACAGCCUUUGAUGGGGCUCAUAGCCUCAACCGAAGAGCCAAUCAGAACAGGGAUCCAGAAGAGGACAUUAAUAAACUUGAAGAGCAAAUUCGUCUGUUGCCUCACUAUCUCACAAAAUACCUGGACGUGUUAUCUCAUUAAAUCUUCACAACAACCCUUGCAAGUGAGGAGGGCAGACGAGCCCCGCGUCUGACGGAAGCCAACGCUGAGCCUAAGAGAAAGGACUUGACCAAGAAAAGAAGCUAUGCGUCUCAGAACUGGGACAAGAACUAACCUGUUUCAGGACUUCAGGCCUCUCCCCAUCGUAUCAUGCUACCUCCGGUCAAUUUAAUGAGCCAUACUGUCCUAAAUUCAGGACCACUUGAUGAUAAUUUUACACUUAAAUGCUAGUAGAAAGCUAGUACAGCUCAGAUAUUUGAAGUGUAUAAAUAAUUAUAUAUUAAUUUUAUAUAAUUAUUAAUAGAGGUAUGAGCUGCUGUCUCUUCUAUUAUCAGAAAUAUGAGUACUAUGUAAUACGGUUAGUACUUUCUAUCAGUAUUAAAAUGGCAAUGUUAUUCAUCACAUUUUUUCUGCAUAACAAUCACCAUGUAGUUUCUCAGGAAAAAUAAUAAAAGAGAUCCACACAUUCUUCAUGUCAAACAUAGCUAUCCAGUUAAAACUUCUGGGAGUGGAUUUUCUCUUGAUGGUCCUGCCAAAGAUACAGAAAGUAGGAUUAUGAAAAUUUGAUAAUGAAAGGGCUAUUUAAAAAUCAACAUGUAAAUUUCACUGUUAGUUUUUCUUAAAGUUCUACAAUUUAUUAUUAAGAAGUUAAUUGUGAAAUUCUGAAAUGAUGUCUGAAGAGAAAUGUAUUUAGUUUCAAAACUUCACUAAGUUCAUUAUACCCCACAUGGUGCCUUUGUAUACAUUAGGAAAUAAAGUAUGUUAUUUGUUUCUCUAUAAUUACAGACAAAUUGGAUUUGUUAGAGAAUGGGUCUAUUAUUUUUACAACAAAUUA
ensembl:lncRNA